GGUAUAUAAGUCUAAGUGCUAUUGCUAUUCCUUCAACUAUGUUGGAUAUGACAGCUCCAAGAACUCCAAGCUGGCAUUGCCUUUGGCUGGGAAUUUUGCAAAUUCUAGCAUCAACAUCUGGAAGGUCCUAAGUUAGCUGAUUUUACAUACUCUAA